rnacentral:RNase_P_RNA from 1 species
UGAGUGGGUCGGGCGGUCGCCGGUCGUUUGCGGCCGGAGGAAAGUCCGAGCAGGAUAGGGCGCGGUGGUGGCUAACGGCCACCCGGGGCGACCCGCGGGCCAGUGCCACAGAAAACACACAGCCGAUGGCCCCGCUCCUGCUUUGCAUGGCAAAGCAGGAAAUCCUAAUAUCUAAUAUCGAAAUUCUAAACAAAUCAGAAAUUCGAAUGUUCGAAUUCUCAAAACGAGUUGUUUUGGUCAUUUGAAUUUUGGUUAUUUGAAAUUGUUUCGGAUUUCGUGCUUUGUGCUUAGGAUUUCUGCUUUUCUGUUCAAAGCAGGUGCGGGGCACAGGUAAAGGUGAAAAGGUGCGGUAAGAGCGCACCGCGUCGCUGGUGACAGCGUCGGCACGGUAAACCCCACCGCCUGCAAGACCAAGUAAGCUGGCUGGAUUCUUACAACCGGUUAAGAAUCCUUUGCCCGGCCCGGGCAACUGUCAGCGGGUAGGUCGCUUGCCGUUUUUGGCAGAGCCAAUCGGUAACGGUUGGUCCAGUUAAAUGACCGCCGUCCCGCACCUGCUUUGCACAGCGAAGCAGGAAAUUCUAAUAUCUAAUAUCGAAACUCGAAACAAAUUCGAAAUUCAAGUGUUCGAAUGCCCGAAACGAGAUGUUUGGGCCGUUUGAAUUUUGGUUAUUUGAAAUUGUUUCGGAUUUCGUGCUUUGUGCUUAGGAUUUCUGCUUUUCUGUUAAAAGCAGGUGCGGGAUACAGAACUCGGCUUACAGACCCACUCAUUUU